ACAUUUUCUUGGUCUUUUGACUAAGAUCAAGUGCAAUAAAUGUUCUUAUUUAAUAUUUGAUAUAUGAGUCAUGGACCCAAACUUAACUAAUUUUUUAGGAGAGAUAUUAUUACAAUAGUUUGCUAUUGGGGUCUUCAUGUGUCGUCUUGUUGUAGCACUAUGGCCCUAGCCAUCCGCACCCCAUCA
rnacentral:snRNA from 1 species